UACGUAGGGUGCGAGCGUUAAUCGGAAUUACUGGGCGUAAAGCGUGCGCAGGCGGUUUUGUAAGCCAGAUGUGAAAUCCCCGGGCUUAACCUGGGAAUGGCAUUUGGGACUGCAAGGCUUGAGUGCGGCAGAGGAGACUAGAAUUCCUGGUGUAGCAGUGAAAUGCGUAGAUAUCAGGAGGAAUACCGAUGGCGAAGGCAGGUCUAUGGGCUGACACUGACGCUCAUGCACGAAAGCGUGGGGAGCAAACAGG
rnacentral:rRNA from 1 species